rnacentral:rRNA from 1 species
UACGUAGGUGGCAAGCGUUGUCCGGAAUUACUGGGCAUAAAGGGCGCGUAGGCGGCCGCCUAAGUCAGACGUGAAAUCCCUCGGCUCAACCGGGGAACUGCGUCUGAUACUGGGUGGCUUGAAUCCGGGAGAGGGAUGCGGAAUUCCAGGUGUAGCGGUGAAAUGCGUAGAUAUCUGGAGGAACACCGGUGGCGAAGGCGGCAUCCUGGACCGGCAUUGACGCUGAGGCGCGAAAGCCAGGGGAGCAAACGGG